rnacentral:rRNA from 1 species
UCUCGAACCCUAGAGAUAGGGCUUUCCCCUUCGGGGGACAGAGUGACAGGUGGUGCAUGGUUGUCGUCAGCUCGUGUCGUGAGAUGUUGGGUUAAGUCCCGCAACGAGCGCAACCCUUGAUCUUAGUUGCCAGCAUUCAGUUGGGCACUCUAAGAUGACUGCCGGUGACAAACCGGAGGAAGGUGGGGAUGACGUCAAAUCAUCAUGCCCCUUAUGACCUGGGCUACACACGUGCUACAAUGGACGGUACAAAGGGCAGCGAGACCGCGAGGUUUAGCCAAUCCCAUAAAACCGUUCUCAGUUCGGAUUGCAGGCUGCAACUCGCCUACAUGAAGCUGGAAUCGCUAGUAAUCGCGGAUCAGCAUGCCGCGGUGAAUACGUUCCCGGGUCUUUACACACCGAA